ACUGCACUCCAGCCUGGACAACAGAACAAGACUCCGUCUCAAAAAAGAAAAAGAAAAAAGAAAAAAGAAAUACAGUCAUGCACAGCAUAGUGACCUUUCAGUCAACAACAUUUAUGAAGAUGGUUGCAAAGAUUACACCAAACUUUUACUGCACCUUUCCUACGUUCAGAUACCCACAUACUCAGCAUCAUAUUACAACUGCCAACAGUAUUCAGUACAGCAACCUGCUAUGCAGGUUUCGGCCCAGGAGCAACAGGCUAUGCCACACAGCCUAGGGUGUAGCAGCCUACGCCAUCUAGGUCUGUGCAAGUAUAUUCUAUGAUGUUCACACCACGACAACAUCGCCAAACAAUGCAUUUCUCAGAACGUAGCCCCAUCAUUAAGUGACACAUGACUGGUUUUUCUGUCUCCCCAUUCCUAUCAGGUGUCACUUCUUGCUGCUCUCAAGCUCUACUCCCCAUGCUUCUGCUUCUAGCUUACCGGGAGGUGGGAAACUGACCAAGCAUGGAAAACUACAGGUAGAACACCACCACAAUUUCGGCUCUCCCGGCAGGAAAGGAGGAACCUGAAAGAAUCCAAGAGAGGAGAGAGAAAAAGAGCACGGGAAGAGGAAAGCAGGAUAUAUUCACUGGAUUGGAAAGCCACAGAAUCAUCAGGGAAUACUUGGAGGACAGCUAAAAUGGAAAAAGGCCUUAAAAUGAUGGCAUCAGGCAAAAUGAAUAGCAGGAGAAGGUGCUGUAUUUGGGGGCAUCUGAUGCACCAGAUGGGGAAAUGUGGAGAGAAAGGGAAUAUGCAGCCACAAACACUUAAACAAGCCCUUACGGCCAAUGAGCAUUGGAAGCGACCAGGAAGACAAUCCUAAAGAUUCUAGAGGAAUGGCUUGAGAAUAUCAGGAGAUGGCAACUAACCAAAACCAAGGCCAAG